GGAAGUGGAGAGAUUGGAACCCCGUGCAGGGGUGGAGGGUGUACUGGGGGGAAGUUCCUCAGAAAGUAGAGAAUGUCUGUGUGACCCAGCAGUCCCGGGGCUCGGGGCGCCGGCGGGAGGAAGGGAAGCAGGGACCUGGCAGCCUGUGUGCUCAUCCACACCAGGGCCGUGCACUGUCGCCGGGACAGUCACAGCCUCCUGAAAUGUGGAAGAUGGAAGCUGAACCAUCAGGGCCAGCGCCAGGCACCCAGCAAGGACUCCACCGGCCAGUCGGGCGUCGAGGAUGGAGGAAAGAGCCCCAUGGCCAGGAAGGCGGGUACCCCAGGAACUAGAAUCUGCAAUGAACUGAGCUCUCCCCUUGAGGCUCCAGGAAGCGGGGGUGACCCCGCAGACGCCCCCUGGCGGCCCCCUGGUGACCCUGCGUCAGGCCUCUGGCCUCUAGAACUGACCUGUUGCUGUGGCUCCAGUUUGAGCUCACCUGUUGUGGCAGAUGAGGAGCUCAGACCCCUGUAUCUGACACUGUUCUCAGUGACUCCCAACCUUCUGGAGACGGAUCCUGUCUGGCCUCAUCCCCUGACAUUUCAUCCCAGACCUCUGAGCACCAGUGCCCGAAGCCCAGCCUGGCCACAUUCUGGAUGCAUGGGCUUCACGUCUGAGGCUCUGCAGUGGCAGAUAGAGUUUGGUGACAGACAAUGCACAGAGGAGGCUCUGUCUCUGCCCCUAAACGUCUUCACCAGAUUUCUGAGAGCAUUUGCUGGGCUGGACGGAGUCUCACUGGUCAUGUGACUCAGUAGAUUUUGUGUAGUCAGCAUCAUCACCUUUCUGGACUCUGCCAGCCAGUAUAGGGAAGAGGGUUGUGCUUGACUGGGCUUGACUCCAGAUCCACUCUGCACGUCAUUCAUCCUCUCUGGGUCAUUGAGCUGAAAGAAGAGGAACAGCCCCAAUAUCUGGGAUGAAGUCCCUCUCUGCAUGCCCAGGCCUUUAUCUCUGGACUCAGGAGCCCUCAGGAACCUCUGCACCACAGCAGGCUGCUUGCACUCCCUGGCUUGUGGACUACUUCAUCUUCAAAGCCAGUGAUGGUGGAAUGAGUCCUUCUCACUCCUUGAAUUUCUCUGCUGAUUCUCUUCUCCUCCAGACAGAAGAAUUUCCUACUUUUAGGGGCUCAUGCAAUCAUAUUGGGCCCACCCAGGAGUACUUCACAAACCCACAUUCUGGACUCGGCCAGGCUCCAUGUCUACCUGUGAUGAGUACCUAGCAUCUCUAGGGCCCUUGCGGGGGGCGGGGGCCGGCGCUGAUAAAGGGGAUGAAGAGGGUGUUCCUGUGCCUUGGAAUGGACAAAUCCCAAUGGAAACUAGGGAGUGCCAAGCUCUGUACUCAAGUCUGUGACAGCUUAAUUUGGUUUUGUUGUUAAUUUCCAUAUGAAUAUUGGCUAUGUGUUAUUCUCUUUCUGUGUGAGGUUUGAGCUCUUAAGAGAGAGAGUUGUGUAUUAUUUCUUUUUUUAAAAAAGAUUUUAUUUAUUUAUUUA